rnacentral:tRNA from 1 species
GGCUAGUUGGUGUAGUGGUAGCAUUCAAGACUGUGAAUCUUGAGGGGUGAGUUCGAUUCUCGCACUGUCCC